AGUGAACGAAUGAAGAAUUAUUCCGAAAUCCUGAGCAGAGGAAGGAAUAGCUCUGACAUGUCCACA
rfam:Plasmodium knowlesi strain H chromosome 14, complete genome